rfam:Sphingomonas paucimobilis NBRC 13935 DNA, contig: SP611.
GCGCCCAAGGGUGCACGCUGGCCGGCGAGGUUUCGCCCGCCGGCGCUUUUGCG